rnacentral:rRNA from 1 species
AGAACGAACGCUGGCGGCAGGCCUCAAACAUGCAAGUCUAGGGGGUGUAGCAAUACAUCACCGGCGGACGGGUGCGUAACGCGUGGGAAUGUACCUAUUGGUUCGGAACAACUGAGGGAAACUUCAGCUAAUACCGGAUGAGCCCGAAAGGGGAAAGAUUUCUCGCCAAUAGAUCAGCCCGCGUCCGAUUAGCUAGUUGGUGGGGUUAAAGCCUACCAAGGCGACGAUCGGUAGCUGUUCUGAGAGGAAGAUCAGCCACACUGGGACUGAGACACGGCCCAGACUCCUACGGGAGGCAGCAGUUGGGAAUCUUGGACAAUGGGGGAAACCCUGAUCCAGCCAUGCCGCGUGAGUGAUGAAGGCCUUCGGGUUGUAAAACUCUUUCGACGGGGACGAUAAUGACGGUACCGUAGAAGAGCUCCGGCUAACUUCGUGCCAGCAGCCGC